ACUUCUCUUAGACAGCAUAGAAAUAAAGUAACGACAAGGAGUCCAGAAAUAGCAGCAACUCAUUUGACUGGAGAAAUCAAGGAAGGCUUAAUGAUCACAGAGGCACAUAUGCUUUACUGUCCACUGCUAUAAGACUUGAGUAGACAAGCUUGUGAAGCCCUGGUCUAAACCACACCAAAAAGUAGCUCAAGCAGAGCCCUGAAGAUCAACUGUCACAUCACAGCUAUCUGAAAGUUGCCUUUGAUUUUAUGCCAGUUUCUAAGCAGCUUUGGGGACCUAUCUGGUCCAGAUCCACCACCCUUAAAAGGGGAGAAAGAAGCAUCUCUCCUGUUGAAAUACCACACACAUCUCUCAGAAGAGUGAAUUCAUAUUUUUACUCUAUUAUCUCCUCUGCUCCUUUUCCCUUUUUUCUAAAACAAGAUUUGAUCCCCAACUUUAACCUCCUUCCUCAAGAUGCUUUCUCUUUACCUUCCAUAGAGAAAGAAUGUCUUCAAAACUAUUUUGUGAAAACCAGGACCCCACUCCAAGCUUCUGGUAAUAACUUCCUCAAAAAAGUGAAGACACAGAGUAAACAUGACAAUCAAACACACGGAAAAUAAGGAUCUCUCCUAAUUCGGUAAAAUCACAGCACUAACAUAAGAGCUUGAGAAAAUAUAAAAGUGAAUCCAUCAUUUUAUCUUUGAAAUACUUUACUAUCUAUAUAUGUUUGUGAUUCCAAUGUCUUUCUAAUGGUCUUGAUUGAAAAAUGAGGAUUUUUUUUUCGUUAUCUUUGAGUAAUCCCAGAAAAGCAUAAUAGCUCAUCAUUAUAGGGAAGAUCAUAACAAUGCCAGAAAGAACAAAAAAUCAAAUGCUUCUCUUUCCAUUACUUAAUACCAACUAGCUCAAUAAAUAUAUAUUUUUUUAAAUGGUUAUUUCCCAGGUUUCUAUUUAAGUUAAUGCAGCAAUAUACCCAAUUUGUACUCCUAGUUAACUACUCUUAGCCCUUGGAGACUACAGUACUCAAUUAGUUAUAUGCUUUUAGUCAUUUGCCUCUUUGCAUCUUUCUUGAAAAUCCACAGUUGAUAAUCACAAGAUUCAAGCUGAGGUAAAAUAUUGUCAGUAUUUUUAAGCACCAUUUGGCCAAAAACACUGCGUGGGAACACAUACACACAUACACGUACACACACACACACACACACACACACACACACACGCUGAUGAGUCACAGGCAGACUGUAGCAUGUUAUUUUGAGACUUCCCUGCCCACCAUAACACUGCCACACAUCUGGCCCAUCUUCAAAAUGGUGAUUCGCUGGAGAAGUGUUCCUGCUACUCUCCAAGGCCAGGUGACACCAAUGCAAGAGUAAUAUAUAAUUUCCAGCCCCCUACUUCCAGAGUUUUCAUAGGGAACAUGAAAAAAAAUUUUAAUAAAAGUCAAUGUGGAAAACAUGUGCUCUCAUAAUCUUAAAUAGGCUUUAAACUAU